ACUCGCCAGCACCAGGGGGUGGGGGAGUGCGAGCUGAAAGCUGCUGGAGAGUGAGCAGCCCUAGCAGGGAUGGACAUGAUGCUGUUGGUGCAGGGUGCUUGUUGCUCGAACCAGUGGCUGGCGGCGGUGCUCCUCAGCCUGUGCUGCCUGCUACCCUCCUGCCUCCCCGCUGGACAGAGUGUGGACUUCCCCUGGGCCACCGUGGACAACAUGAUGGUCAGAAAAGGGGACACGGCGGUGCUUAG
rnacentral:lncRNA from 1 species